rnacentral:rRNA from 1 species
UACGGAGGGUGCAAGCGUUAUCCGGAUUCACUGGGUUUAAAGGGUGCGUAGGUGGGCAGGUAAGUCAGUGGUGAAAUCUCUGGGCUUAACCCGGAAACUGCCGUUGAUACUAUCUGUCUUGAAUGUAGUGGAGGUGAGCGGAAUAUGUCAUGUAGCGGUAAAAUGCUUAGAUAUGACAUAGAACAUCGAUUGCGAAGGCAGCUCGCUACACUAUGAUUGACACUGAGGCACGAAAGCGUGGGGAUCAAACAGG